UACGGAGGGUGCAAGCGUUAUCCGGAUUCACUGGGUUUAAAGGGUGCGUAGGUGGGAAUGUAAGUCAGUGGUGAAAUCUCCGUGCUUAACAUGGAAACUGCCAUUGAUACUAUGUUUCUUGAAUUUUCUGGAGGUAAGCGGAAUAUGUCAUGUAGCGGUGAAAUGCUUAGAUAUGACAUAGAACACCAAUUGCGAAGGCAGCUUACUACCCGAAUAUUGACACUGAGGCACGAAAGCGUGGGGAUCAAACAGG
rnacentral:rRNA from 1 species